CACGUGGGUAAUUUACCUUUAAGUCUGGAAUAACACCUCGAAAGAGAUGCUAAUACCGGAUUGGACUACAGAAACUUUUGUUUCAGUGGUUAAAGUCGGGGACCCUUCGGGGCCUGACGCUUAGAGAUAAGCCCGCGUCCUAUCAGCUUGUUGGUGAGGUAAUGGCUCACCAAGGCUUUUGACGGGUAGCUGGUCUGAGAGGAUGGUCAGCCACACUGGGACUGAGACACUGCCCAG
rnacentral:rRNA from 1 species